rnacentral:rRNA from 1 species
GAUGAACGCUAGCUACAGGCUUAACACAUGCAAGUCGAGGGGUAACGAGAGGGAAGCUUGCUUUCCUUGUCGACGACCGGCGCACGGGUGAGUAACGCGUAUCCAACCUGCCCCCAACUAGGGAAUAACCUUGCGAAAGUAAGACUAAUACCCUAUAAUUUCCUCAGAUGUCAUCUGACGAGGAAUAAAGAUUUAUCGGUUGUGGAUAGGGAUGCGUCUGAUUAGCUUGUUGGCGGGGUAACGGCCCACCAAGGCAACGAUCAGUAGGGGUUCUGAGAGGAAGGUCACACACAGUGGAACAGAGACACGGUCCAAACUCCUACGGGAGGCAGCAGUGAGGAAUAGUGGUCAAUGAGCGUAAGCCUGAACCAGCCAAGGAGCGUGCAGGGUGACGGCCCUAUGGGUUUUAAUCUGCUGUUAUACAGAAUAAAGUUAGCCACGUGUGGUUAUUUGUAGGUACUGUAUGAAUAAGGACCGGCUAAUUCCGUGCCAGCCGCCGCCGUAA